ensembl:lncRNA
UUUGUCUUUAUUUCUAGGAAGUAAAGCCAGAAAGCAGCAGGGAAGGCGAAGCAGGUGGAAGGCUGCCUCCUGAUGCGGUGCUGAAGCCCCCUCACUGACCUGCCGAGAGACCCGGUUUGCUUCUCUGGUGAGCCCCAGCAAAUAUUACCGGAGUCCGUGACGAAGCCUCGACCUCGUCCACGUGUCGGUGCGGUCCGGGUACCCUUUAGGUGCGGCCGAGGAGUCGCGGCGAGUCGGGGACGUCGCAAGGAGCGGCGAGGGCGCGGUCAACUUUAAGCGAUGCUACAUCGCUCCUCUCCGUUUAUCCUAGGCGAACCCUGCGACGACGGGGUCUGCCUCGGAGCAUGGCCGAAGCGUGGUGCCCGAGGACCCGGGCGUUCCUAAGAGAGAGUGCUGAUACUUGUCUGAGACAACAGCCAGGUGAGAGAAGAACUUCCCAGACGGUGAGGUGGCUUUGUUUGGCCCCCGACCGGCCUCUCUCUGUGACUCACAUCUUCAGCCCUCUGAGAGAUAAGUGGGGCCCGCAGAGGGGAUCAAAGCGGGGUGGCGGGUCGGGACUGAGAUCGGUUUGGGUUUUUGAGUGAGCUUUGGGGAUGGGGAGGUUCUGGAAAUGACCCCAUAGGCCCCAGUGAGGGAAAGCCUCACUUUGGUUUGCAAUGCUGAGGCGAACAGGGCAGAGCAGUCCCAGGGUGUGUUGUCACUUGUCUCUUGUGCCUUCUGUGUCUUCUGUGCAUCUCGUGUAAUGUGCCUCUUGCCUUAGCCCUCUCCAGGGCUUAUGAGAAACCCCAGGUCCUUCCAUUCAUCUCCCAUCUUUGCGUUCCUCGGCCCGACGCCGGCGCAACUUUGAUUCGGGAGCUCUGACACGCGUCAGAAUCGCAUCUGUCUUCAGAAGCACGCGAUCGGUCAUCCGAGCCCGACAGGCUCGCCUGGGGUCCCUCCUCGGUCAUCACGUUCAGCAUUCUCUCGGUCCUCAUUGAGGACUUUCUUGUCUCAAUGCGGAGGGAUUGACCUUCUGGCAGUGCGCCGCAUCCCAGAUGAUGGGGUCCCCCUGAGAAGGAAGUAUAGCCGGAUAGCAGCAGGGAAGGCGAAGCAGGUGGAAGGUGAUCUACUUGCAAGAUAUCCCAGCCAAGGAUACUGGAGGACAGGAUUUGGCGUUGCCCCGAGCACGGCAAGGAGCAGAGAUGAGCAGGUGAGUUGGCAUUUUGAAGUUAAGUUAGAGGACAGGGCUGUAGUGGGAUGGGCCCCUCUGAAGCCAAGGGAGAGGGUUUCUUUGCAAGCUCCCCAGAGCUUUUGCCGGGCAGGGCAGUUCCAAUCCAUCUUCUCGUUCUCUCGCGUUUCACGUCAUCGGGCAUCUCAGCCUCUCGACGUCGUCGUGGAUUUUUUCGUCCGAGGAACCGGCCUUCGCAUCCGCAGCUAUCGCCACGUUCACCCGGCAGACAUCGCCUGCGACUGCCUUGUACCGUGCCUGCCUCUGUAAAACUAACUGCAUUGUGCCUGCCUCUGUAAAACUAACUGCAUUGUGCCUGCCUCUGUAAAACUAACUGCAUUGUGCCUGCCUCUGUAAAACUAACUGCAUUGUGCCUGCCUCUGUAACUUAGCUGAACUGCAUUGUGCCUGCCUCUGUAACUUAGCUGAACUGCAUUGUGCCUGCCUCUGUAACUUAACUUGACUGCACUGUGCCUGCCUCUGUAACUUAACUUAACUUUAACUGCAUUGUGCCUGCCUCUGUAACUUAACUGCAUUGUGCCUGCCUCUGUAACUUAGCUUAACUGCAUUGUGCCUGCCUCUGUGACUUAGCUGAACUGCAUUGUGCCUGCCUCUGUAACUUAGCUGAACUGCAUUGUGCCUGCCUCUGUAACUUAGCUUAACUGCAUUGUGCCUGCCUCUGUAACUUAUCUGCAUUGUGCCUGCCUCUGUAACUUAUCUGCAUUGUGCCUGCCUCUGUAGCUUAACUGCACUGUGCCUGCCUCUGUAACUCAGCUUAACUGCACUGUGCCUGCCUCUGUAACUCAGCUUAACUGCACUGUGCCUGCCUCUGUAACUCAGCUUAACUGCAUUGGUUUGGAGCUGCCCUGCCCUGGCACAUAGUUAGAGUUAGGUGGAACAAUUAUAAAAGGUUACAGUUCCUCUUUUCUAUGAGGUUUUUGUGUAGAAAAUAUGUGGGCCUAGAGGGUGGCUGAGUCAUAGCUACCAUAGAAUUCCUCACUGACCACCUUGUGUUGUCUUGCAGGUCUCUGAUGCCUGUUUUCUGAGGAUCUACCGUUUGAUGUUGAGAAGCAGCAGUGAGAAGAUAUCUCAGGGCAUUUUGUUCAGCAGAG